UACGUAGGGGCCUAGCGUUGUCCGGAAUUAUUGGGCGUAAAGAGCUCGUAGGCGGUUCGGCAAGUCGGAUGUGAAAUCUCCACGCUUAACGUGGAGGGGCCAUUCGAAGCUGCUGUGACUCGAGUCCGGUAGGGGAGUGUGGAAUUCCCGGUGUAGCGGUGAAAUGCGCAGAUAUCGGGAGGAACACCAGUAGCGAAGGCGGCACUCUGGGCCGGUAUUGACGCUGAGUGAGCGAAAGCCAGGGGAGCAAACGGG
rnacentral:rRNA from 1 species